CAUGCAAGUCGAACGAGGAUAUAUCCUUCGGGAUAUAAGCCGAGUGGCGCAAGGGUGAGUAAUGCAUAGAUUACCUGCCUCUAGGAUAAGGACAACUUUGUGAAAACGAAGCUAAUACUUAAUAAUACAAGUGGAAAUAAUUUCCAUUUGUCAAUGGGAGGGUAGCAAUACCUUUUGCCUGGAGAGGGGUUUAUGUCCUAUCAGCUUGUUGGUGGGGUAAUGGCCUACCAAGGCGAAGACGGGUAGCCGGUCUUAGAGGAUGGUCGGCCACACUGGGACUGAGACACUGCCCAGACUUCUACGGAAGGCUGCAGUCGAGAAUCUUUCGCAAUGCCCGAAAGGGUGACGAAGCGACGCCGCGUGAGUGAGGAAGGCCUUCGGGUUGUAAAGCUCUGUCAGGAGUUAAGAAAUGUAAGUGUGCUAAUACCACAUUUAUUUGACGAAGGCUCCAAAGGAAGCCACGGCUAACUCUGUGCCAGCAGCCGCGGUAAUACAGAGGUGGCAAGCGUUGUUCGGAAUUAUUGGGCGUAAAGAGCACGUAGGUGGGUUUGUAAGUCAGAUGUGAAAGCCUUCUGUUCAACGGAAGAAUUGCAUCUGAAACUGCGAGUCUUGAGUGUAGGAGGGGAGAAUGGAACUUCUGGUGGAGCGGUGAAAUGCGUAGAUAUCAGAAGGAACGCCGGCGGCGAAAGCGAUUCUCUGGCCUAUUACUGACGCUCAGUGUGCGAAAGCUAGGGGAGCAAACGGGAUUAGAUACCCCGGUAGUCCUAGCCGUAAACGAUGGGCACUAAGUAGAGGGAAUUACCGAUGUUCUCUCUGCCGUAGCUAACGCAUUAAGUGCCCCGCCUGGGGAGUACGGCCGCAAGGCUAAAACUCAAAAGAAUUGACGGGGGCUCGCACAAGCGGUGGAGCAUGUGGCUUAAUUCGAUGCAACGCGAAGAACCUUACCGGGGCUUGACAUGGUAGAAGUAGGAACCCGAAAGGGUAACGAACGGUAUCCAGUCCGUAACUAUCACAGGUGUUGCAUGGCUGUCGUCAGCUCGUGUCGUGAGACGUUGGGUUAAGUCCCCUAACGAGCGAAACCCUUGUUUUUAGUUACCAGCGGGUUGUGCCGGGUACUCUAGAAAGACUGCCGUCGUCAAGACGGAGGAAGGUGGGGAUGACGUCAAGUCAUCAUGGCCCUUAUGCCCCGGGCUGCACACGUGCUACAAUGGUCGGUACAAACGGAAGCGAAGCCGAGAGGUGAAGCGAAUCCUAAAAAGCCGAUCUCAGUUCGGAUUGGAGGCUGAAAUUCGCCUCCAUGAAGUUGGAAUCGCUAGUAAUCGCGGAUCAGCAUUGUCGCGGUGAAUAUGUUCCCGAGCCUUGUACACACCGCCCGUCAAGCCACCCAAGCAGGAUGCACCUGAAAACAUUAUAUCUAACCAGGUUUACCUGGAGGAAAAUGUUGAAGGAGUGUUUUGUGAGGAGGACUAAGUCGUAACAAGGUAGUCGUAGGAGAACCUGCGGCUGGAUCACCUCCUUUCU
rnacentral:rRNA from 1 species